rnacentral:rRNA from 1 species
GUGAGGAAUAUUGGACAAUGGAUGGAAAUCUGAUCCAGCCAUGCCGCGUGCAGGAAGACGGCCCUAUGGGUUGUAAACUGCUUUUAUACGGGAGCAAUAAGGUCUAUGCAUAGAUUGAUGAGAGUACCGUAUGAAUAAGCAUCGGCUAACUCCGUGCCAGCAGCCGCGGUAAUACGGAGGAUGCGAGCGUUAUCCGGAUUUAUUGGGUUUAAAGGGUGCGUAGGCGGCUUUGUAAGUCAGCGGUGAAAUUUUGCAGCUUAACUGUAAAAGCGCCGUUGAGACUGUGAAGCUAGGAUUUGGUUGCUGUGGGCGGAAUGUGUGGUGUAGCGAUGAAAUGCAUAGAGAUCACACAGAAUAUCGAUUGCGAAGGCAGCUCACAAAGCCAAUAUUGACGCUGAGGCACGAAAGUGUGGGGAUCAAACAGGAUUAGAAACCCUUGUAGUCC